AUUGAACGCUGGCGGCAGGCCUAACACAUGCAAGUCGAGCGGAUGAAGGGAGCUUGCUCCUGGAUUCAGCGGCGGACGGGUGAGUAAUGCCUAGGAAUCUGCCUGGUAGUGGGGGAUAACGUCCGGAAACGGGCGCUAAUACCGCAUACGUCCUGAGGGAGAAAGUGGGGGAUCUUCGGACCUCACGCUAUCAGAUGAGCCUAGGUCGGAUUAGCUAGUUGGUGGGGUAAAGGCCUACCAAGGCGACGAUCCGUAACUGGUCUGAGAGGAUGAUCAGUCACACUGGACCUGAGACACGGUCCAGACUCCUACGGGAGGCAGCAGUGGGGAAUAUUGGACAAUGGGCGAAAGCCUGAUCCAGCCAUGCCGCGUGUGUGAAGAAGGUCUUCGGAUUGUAAAGCACUUUAAGUUGGGAGGAAGGGCAGUAAGUUAAUACCUUGCUGUUUUGACGUUACCAACAGAAUAAGCACCAGCUAACUUCGUG
rnacentral:rRNA from 1 species